UACGUAGGGGGCAAGCGUUGUCCGGAAUCAUUGGGCGUAAAGCGCGUGUAGGCGGCCAGAAAAAUCCGCUGUGAAAACUCGAGGCUCAACUUCGAGCUGUCGGUGGAAACUUUCUGGCUAGAGUCCGGAAGAGGAGAAUGGAAUUCCUGGUGUAGCGGUGAAAUGCGCAGAUAUCAGGAAGAACACCCGUGGCGAAGGCGGUUCUCUGGGACGGUACUGACGCUGAGACGCGAAAGCGUGGGGAGCGAACAGG
rnacentral:rRNA from 1 species